UUUUAAGCUGCCUUUUUACGGCAGUUGGCGGAGCGCAGACUCCCCUGCCGUCCAGCGCUGCUUUUGCUCAUA